rnacentral:lncRNA from 7 species
GGAAGGAUCUCUUUCUGGAGAUUGCUCCUUUUGGAGUUUUCUAUUGUGAGCCUUGAUCCUUGGAUAUGGCAGCCUGAUGUGUCACAGCACAGCUUGGAGAUGAGAUGUGACACUGUCUUGGAGCUUGAGGUCUGUCUGUCCGGGCCCAGGAAGAUGGAUGGCUUUGCGGUGUUGUUUGAAAGCUGCACUGACCUCAAGAAGGAGCCCUGAUUGCGCUGCCAUUUCCUAUUUUUAUCCUGAUUCACCGCUCCUGGGAACGUAAGCCAAGUUUUCUUUUUCUUUCCAAAAAGAACAUUCGGCAGGGUAACAUUCGGCAUCACAAGCUGGCCUUGAGAUGGGGUUUGCUCCGGCUUCCCUGCUGAGCCGCUGCGCACAGCUUGUUUCUAAAACACGGCUCAGGCACUGCUAGUUGCCGUGCUGUCACAGGGGCUGAUCCAGCACAGAACCUGCUUGGCAUUCUUGCGGAGAAAUCACCCAGUGCCGCAACUCACAAUUUAUUAUUGAUUGCAUAUUAAUAUCCAAAAAAGGCAAUAAAAUCCACUCUGUGUUUUUACAGAAGGAAAAAAAAAAGUACUACAAGCUGAGCGGUGCAAAUCUGGAGAAGUCCUUGGCUGGCGCAGAGCUGUGCGCAGUGCUGCUUCUCCCUUAAUUACAAGCAGUUUAAAACCAUCUCCUUCCUUCAAAGGAGGAUUUUGUUCGGUGUUUGCCUUCGUUUUAAUCUCACGAACGUGAUGCUCUCUUGGAACGCGUCCCUCGCGCUGUAACAGCAAGACGUGCUGCUGCUUUUGUCCCUGCCACUUGGGAAAGGCGCAGCUCCUGCUGCUUGUCCCUGCGGCCAUGGGGCUGUUACUGUCAAUACACCACCCUUUAAAGGGAAAGAAAACAGAACAAAACCCAACAGCAGCCUUUUCCCCCCCCAAGAUUUCCUAUC